rnacentral:rRNA from 1 species
GGGGUGCAGCAGGCGCGAAAACUUUACAAUGCGGGAAACCGCGAUAAGGGGACACCGAGUGCCAGCAUUUAUGUUGGCUGUCCACAUGUGUAAACGGCAUGUGUUAGCAAGGGCCGGGCAAGACCGGUGCCAGCCGCCGCGGUAACACCGGCGGCCCGAGUGGUAAUCACUUUUAUUGGGUCUAAAGGGUCCGUAGCCGGUUUGAUCAGUUCUUCGGGAAAUCUGACAGCUCAACUGUUAGGCUUCCGGGGAAUACUGUCAGACUUGGGACCGGGAGAGGUAAGAGGUACUACAGGGGUAGGAGUGAAAUCUUGUAAUCCCUGUGGGACCACCAGUGGCGAAGGCGUCUUACCAGAACGGGUCCGACGGUGAGGGACGAAAGCUGGGGGCACGAACCGGAUUAGAUACCCGGGUAGUCCCAGCCGUAAACGAUGUUCGCUAGGUGUCAGGGGCGGUGCGACCGCUUCUGGUGCCGUAGGGAAGCCGUGAAGCGAACCACCUGGGAAGUACGCCGCAAGGC